CUGUUUAAAGUGCAGGGAUCUCCAUACACUUCAAUUUACUUAUAACAAGCACCCAGUGGCAUCAUAACUUUCCUGUUAAUGGUAGCAUAUUAUACUGUACUAUCACUAUACUUCUUACCUAGCAACUACCAUGCUAACUAGUAUAUUUUAUCCAUACAUCUUAGUUAAUCUUCCUGUCAGGAAUCCCCUCAUCUGAGUGCAUUUCCUGUGUUAUAUCUAUACCCUAACCUAUAUCUAAGCAUCACAUUUUAAAACAAAAUGUGCAGACUACUCUCGACU